rnacentral:rRNA from 1 species
GAUGAACGCUGGCGGCGUGCCUAAUACAUGCAAGUCGAGCGAACGGACGAGAAGCUUGCUUCUCUGAUGUUAGCGGCGGACGGGUGAGUAACACGUGGAUAACCUACCUAUAAGACUGGGAUAACUUCGGGAAACCGGAGCUAAUACCGGAUAAUAUUUUGAACCGCAUGGUUCAACAGUGAAAGACGGUCUUGCUGUCACUUAUAGAUGGAUCCGCGCUGCAUUAGCUAGUUGGUAAGGUAACGGCUUACCAAGGCAACGAUGCAUAGCCGACCUGAGAGGGUGAUCGGCCACACUGGAACUGAGACACGGUCCAGACUCCUACGGGAGGCAGCAGUAGGGAAUCUUCCGCAAUGGGCGAAAGCCUGACGGAGCAACGCCGCGUGAGUGAUGAAGGUCUUCGGAUCGUAAAGCUCUGUUAUUAGGGAAGAACAUAUGUAUAAGUAACUGUGCACAUCUUGACGGUACCUAAUCAGAAAGCCACGGCUAACUACGUG